AUUGAACGCUGGCGGCAUGCUUUACACAUGCAAGUCGAACGGUAACAGCACUUCGGUGGCUGACGAGUGGCGAACGGGUGAGUAAUACAUCGGAACGUGCCUAGUAGUGGGGGAUAACUACUCGAAAGAGUAGCUAAUACCGCAUGAGAUCUAAGGAUGAAAGCAGUGGACCUUCUGGCCUUGCGCUACUAGAGCGGCUGAUGGCAGAGUAGGUAGUUGGUGGGAUAAAAGCUUACCAAGCCGACGAGCUGUAGCUGGUCGGAGAGGACGACCGGCCACACUAGAGCUGGGACACGGCCCAGACUCCUACGGGAGGCAGCAGUGGGGAAUUUUGGACAAUGGGCGCAAGCCUGAUCCAGCAAUGCCGCGUGCAGGAUGAAGGCCUUCGGGUUGUAAACUGCGUUUGUACGGAACGAAAAGCUCUCUUCUAAUACAGGAGGGUCAUGACGGUACCGUAAGAAUAAGCACCGGCUAACUACGUG
rnacentral:rRNA from 1 species